GAAUCAAAAAUAAACCAAAACCUUCUGAAAGUGAAAGAAAGUGAAAUGAAUCAAUUCUUUAUCCAGGGAAUCUGAAAAUCAUGUAGCUGGACUCAAGAAAGUUCUACCAGAGAGACUCAUUUAGCUUUAUGAGCUGGCAGAUCCUACCUGAAAUCCAAGGGACCUGAUUAUAAAUAUGUAACAGAAGAACACCCCAAAGUGUUCUUCUUAAGGCACACAAAUAGCACAGAGCUUGGCCCCCAGACAUAUUUUUAAAAUGGUGACAAUCAGAAAGAUGUAAAUAUGGCUUUCCUUGCCUUUGCAGAACAACUACAGUGAACAGCGUGUCUAUCUUACAGCUUGAAUUAUAUUCGCAUUAG